UUCCCGUAGUAACGGCGAGUGAACUGGGAUCAGUCCAGCGCUGAAUCGUGGUACUUUGACAGGUGCCACGAAAUGUAGCGUAUAGGCAGUAUGCUCUGCAUUAUCAGUCGGUUUAAAUCUCCCUUGACUGGGGUUCCAGAGAAGGUGAAAGGCCUGUUCAACCGGCAGAUGGUGUAGGCUCAUGCUGUCUUGGAGUCGGGUUGUUUGGGAACGCAGCCCAAAGAAGGUGGUAAACUUCAUCUAAGACUAAAUAAUGCUACGAGACCGAUAGCAAACAAGUACUGUGAAGGAAAGUUGCAAAGCACUUUGAAGAGAGAGUUAAAGAGGACGUGAAACCGAUAAGAUGGAAACGGAUAGAGCCGACGUAUCUGGCCUGUAUUCAGCCGGGUGGCUGUCCAUCGCUGGUUAGUCAGUCCUGUUUCUGGCUGGCUGGCUAGUGAUUGGGCAGUUUUACUGGUGCAUUUGCAGGUGGUGUGCGCCGAAGCUCGCGCUAUGCUUUGGCUGGAUCGUUGCUUUGAGGWCUCCCUUUGGGCGAGAAACCAGAGCUUCAGGAAGGCUAUGUGCUGUGCGAGUAGUAGUGCACGGUAUUCGGUUGACCCGGUUGUAGGUUCUUGCUGGGGUUGCAGUCGCAUGCGACUGUGCCUUGGUGGGUUCUUGCAGCUGGUUAGACCCCGUGACAUUCUUCGGUGUAAAAGUCGGUCAUCUCUCCGACCCGUCUUGAAACACGGACCAAGGAGUUUAACGAGUGCGCGAGUCAUUGGGUGUGAAAACUCAAAGGCGCAAUGAAAGUAAAGGCUUCGCUUGUCGAGCUUAUAUGCGACCUCGGUGGUUUCGGCCAUUGAGAGCAGCAUAGCCCCGUCCCGACUGCUUGCAGUGGGGCGGAGGAAGAGCGUACUCGCUGAGACCCGAAGAUGGUGAACUAUGCCUGAGCAGGACGAAGCCAGAGG
rnacentral:rRNA from 1 species